GAGGGAGAGAGAGAAGGAAGGAGAGGAGGGAGAAAGAAAGAGGAAGGAGGAGAUGGAGGUGCGUUGGCUGAUGGGACAACUAGGUUUCCUUCCUCCACCUUCCUUUUGGUUGCAGUUUCUUGCCGAGCUCCUCCUUCUAAUUCAUGUCCUCCUGAUUCAAUGUUUUCAGGCAUCUAGGUUUGGGUGGGGCUGGAUUCCUACAACGAUGGAGGCACCAGCCAACAGCUACAUCUUCCUCGGAUUUUGCAACCAAGUGUCGAGCUGUGUUGUUGUACCAAAGAUACUGUAUAAAGACGUGCCAUGUUGUUCCUCGCCAGGCGAGCUC
rnacentral:lncRNA from 1 species